CCCUUAGAUGUCCUGGGCUGCACGCGCGCUACACUGACACAUGCAGCGAGUGUCCCUGGUCCGGUGGGAUCGGGUACUCUUUUUAACGUGUGUCGUGAUGGGGAUAGAUUAUUGCAAUUAUUAAUCUUCAACGAGGAAUUCCUAGUAAGUGCAGGUCAUCAGCUUGCGCUGAUUACGUCCCUGCCCUUUGUACACACCGCCCGUCGCUCCUACCGAUUGAAUGUUCCGGUGAAUAAUUCGGACUGCGGUUGUGGGGUCUGUACCACCACGACUGUGGGAAGUUUAGUGAACCUUAACAUUUAGAGGAAGGAGAAGUCGUAACA
rnacentral:rRNA from 1 species